UACGAAGGGGGCUAGCGUUGUUCGGAAUUACUGGGCGUAAAGGGCGCGUAGGCGGUGUGUCAAGUCAGGCGUGAAAGCCCCGGGCUCAACCUGGGAACCGCGCUUGAGACUGGCACGCUCGAGUUCGGGAGAGGAUGGUGGAAUUCCCAGUGUAGAGGUGAAAUUCGUAGAUAUUGGGAAGGACACCGAUGGCGAAGGCAGCCAUCUGGACCGACACUGACGCUGAGGCGCGAAAGCGUGGGGAGCAAACAGG
rnacentral:rRNA from 1 species